CCUACGGGAGGCAGCAGUGGGGAAUAUUGGACAAUGGGCGCAAGCCUGAUCCAGCCACGCCGUGUGGGUGAUGAAGGCCUUCGGGUCGUAAAGCCCUGUCGGAAGGAGAGAAGCUUUCGUUGGCUAACAUCCAACGGAGGUGACGGUACCUUCAAAGGAAGCACCGGCUAACUCUGUGCCAGCAGCCGCGGUAAGACAGAGGGUGCAAGCGUUGUUCGGAAUCAUUGGGCGUAAAGCGCACGUAGGCGGUCGCGUAAGUCGGACGUGAAAUCCCUGGGCUCAACCCAGGAAGUGCAUCCGAUACUGCGCGACUUGAGUCCCGGAGAGGAUGGUGGAAUUCCUGGUGUAGAGGUGAAAUUCGUAGAUAUCAGGAGGAACACCGGUGGCGAAGGCGACCAUCUGGACGGAGACUGACGCUGAGGUGCGAAAGCGUGGGGAGC
rnacentral:rRNA from 1 species